AUUGAACGCUGGCGGCAGGCCUAACACAUGCAAGUCGAACGAGUGGCGGACGGGUGAGUAAUGUCUGGGAAACUGCCUGAUGGAGGGGGAUAACUACUGGAAACGGUAGCUAAUACCGCAUACCAUCGGAUGUGCCCAGAUGGGAUUAGCUAGUAGGUGGGGUAAAGGAUCACCUAGGCGACGAUCCCUAGCUGGUCUGUUAGGAUGACCAGCCACACGAGAACUUAGGCACGGUCCAGGCUCCUGCAGGCGACCACAGUGGGGAAUAUUGCACACUGAGCACAGUCCUGAUGGAGCCGUGCCGCGUGUAUGAUAAAGGCCUUCGGGUUGUGAAGUACUUUCAACGGAAAGGCGUUACCCGCGAAAGAAGCGCCGGCUGACUCCGUGCCGGCAGCCGCGGUAAUUC
rnacentral:rRNA from 1 species